UUGGUUUAGAAAUAGCUGCAUGACCCAGGC
rnacentral:piRNA from 1 species